UAUAUUUAAUUAAAUCAAUAUACUGUAAUGUACAGUACAUUUAAAAAUUGAAAUAUUUUGGCUUUUGCUUCCUUUGGAAAAAUUCAUUGAUUAUAUUUAUACAGCUUUUCGAAGCUUGGAAAAAGUUACUUUGGAGAGACAACUCCCAGAAUACUAGACUUGCCAGUCUCAGUCACACUGUUUCCUAUUCUAGAAAGUUUGAUCUGCAAAGAGUGCCUCAUGGAAACAGAUGAAGACGGCUGCCUCUUCACUGUCGGCAUUUGCAAAGCUGUGGAUUCCUGUAGGACAUUCAUUGUCAGCGAUGAAGAAAAGGUGCUAUUCCGUGUUUAUGGCUGCUUCGUAUCUGCUUCCUAUCCCUGUGGGAUGAAAAAGAAAUCAUAUGACGGUCAAAUAUUAAGUGUCAAGUGCUGCUCACACAGCCACCUCUGCAAUAGAAAAGUUUUGAACUGAUCAUUAAUUAUUUCAGAUGAGCUAAAAUAUGCAUGUUGUACAAUCUGCAAAAACAAAGCUUUUUGGAAGUUUUUGUUAACAAGUGAAGUGUUUUCAUUACCUUUCGAAGUGUUUUGAAAUUUAUUAAUUGCAAUAAUAAAUGGAAAAUAUUACUCAUUACUCUUUUUUGUUGGGGAAUACAUUUAGUAUGAUGAAAAGAAUGCCACAAAACCAUAAAAAUAAUCCUAUAGUAAUGCCUCCAAAACGGCCCAAAAUGCUCUUUCAAUCUUAUCUAAACCUUUAAAAAACUUUAUUUAUAUCCCGCUCCCGCUGUUUUGUUUUAUAGUAUAUUUGUUGCUGGCCCUCGUGGCAGAAUGUAAGCCGCUCUGAGUCCCCUCGGGGAGAAGGGCGGGGUAUAAAUGCAUGUAAUAAAUAAAUAAAUAAAUAAAUAAAUACCAUCUCCACAAAGGGACUCAGGUGGCUUACAAAGACACUCCAGGGUGCACAUAGAACACACAGCAGGUAAAAAUGGUACAAAAGUAUAAAACAAGUCACAUAACAUUAUAACAACAACCCCUGUCAGCACAUAUAGCAUAAAAUCAAAAUAAUGUAAUUUUAAAAACAACUGUAGAUAAAACUAGUUGCCAUCAAUUCACAAAGUGCCAACUUCAUAUGGGCCCAAAACAAAAUUACAGUAACUAAAAUGUUGCUUGAAACUUACUGGGGCUAAUUUCCAGGAUCACUUAUCAAUAUCAACAUUUGUGGAUGCUUAAGUCCUACUAAAUAAAAACAUAAAAUGGUGUCCCUUAUAUAAAAAUUGCAAAAUCAAAGUUUGCUUCUUUUUCUAAAUGUAUUUUCAAGCCAUGGAUAGUUAGAUCCAUAUAUGCAUAUUACAUGGAUACAUAAGGCUGCCUGUCAACAUUAUGUUUGUAACUCUACUUAUUCUAUGAUUGAAUUUCUGUUAAACUCUAUUUUGUAUUGUAAAGACAUUUUACAAAUAAAGAAAUUGUGUAAUUCUGAUUGAGAAGUUCUAUCCGAUAGAUCAGUGGUUCUCAACCUGUAGGUCCCCAGAUGUUUUGGUCUUCAACCCCCAGAAAUCCUAACAGCUGGAAAAUUGGCUCUGUGGAUGCAGUUCUUUGUCCUCCACCUCUAAGCAUCUAUUACAGGCAUGGGCAAAUUUGGGCCCUCCAGGUGUUUUGCUCAUGCCUGAUCUAUCAAGAUCCCAGAGAGACUUCAGCUGCUGUUAUUCACAAAUAGGAAGAAGAGAGAAAAAAUUCAGACCACAGAGAAGCAGCUGGUUUCAGCCCAGUCAAGUGGAAGAAAUGACAGUGUGUCUCAGGUGGAAUGCACCUUUCUUGCUCAGGUUUCUGCGGUCUAAUCCAAAGUUUUUAAACUUUGAAUUGUGACCCCAUUUGAGGUCCUUCUAAGAAUGUGGGUGUUGGUGGGGGGGGGGGGCGUAAUUGUGUCUGUACUUCACAGAAAAGGGGAAUCAACCUGCCUUCGUUAGCAAGCCUUACAAAUGCUAGUUUUGCUUGAUGACUAUUUUUUUCAGUUUUAGAAACAUUUUUCUUCAAAUGUUGAUUCUAAAAACCUAAGUUGGGUUCAUAAACCAUGCUCAAUUGAAAUUUUUUGAAAAACUCUUAGUCACUUGCUAUUAAAACCUCAAGAAUUGAGGUUUUCUGCUGCCCUGCAGACUAGGACACGGAACAAUGGCUUCAAACUACAGGAAAGGAGAUUCCACCUGAACAUCAGGAAGAACUUCCUCACUGUGAGAGCUGUUCGACAGUGGAACUCUCUCCCUGGGGCCGUGGUGGAGGCUCCUUCCUUGGAGGCUUUUAAGCAGAGGCUGGAUGGCCAUCUGUCAGGGGUGCUUUGAAUGCAAUUUCCUGCUUCUUAGCAGGGGGUUGGACUAGAUGGCCCAUGUGGUCUCUUCCAACUCUACUAUUCUAUGAUUCUAUGAUUCUAUGAAUAAUUUGCCUGCAACCUGUGCAGGGAAAGAAGGGAGGACACCACUUAUUUAUUUUUUGGGAGAAGAAAAGAUGAUGAAAACAAGAGUGAGGUGAAUGUGGUUCCAUUUCGGGUAUAUGGCUCCACUUUGCAACCAAAUUCAAGAGAAAAAAUGGAGAGCCAACACAGUAUAUUUAGCAAUUUGAGACUACAAACAAAGCAUACAUUGCCAGCAAGGCAUGAAAAAUGUUGAAAAUGCUCUAUGUCCUGAAGUAUCAAAUAUUCACCCAAGAUUUAAUUCUUCAUAUAAAAAAUGUAUCAAUCUCAUUAGUAUGCAAGUUUGCUUUCAUCUUAAAUAAAUGGUAACAUUAAAUGUAAACUAAAGAAUUGUUUUAUAAUAAAUUUAUUUAAACUUUA